CACCUCCACCCUUUAGUUCACCACCACCCUUUAGUUCACCUCCACCCUUUAGUUCACCUCCACCCUUCAUCCGCAACGCACAAUCCGCCAGAGAAGCGUCCUCAAGCGGAUCUGGAUCCAUAAAAACUCUUUUCUUUCACUCUUUUGUGUUAUUUUUUUUGUUUCCUUUUGUUUCCUCGUGAGUCAAACCGGAGAAACAGGAAGUGAAACGUUCUUCACUUCCUGGUUUCAUCGUCCAGCUUCCAUUCUGCACAAUGAGGUCGUGCGUCGUUCUUCUCUUUGCUUCUCUGCUCACAUUAUGUGAAGCACAAGGAACCAUUGUGACUCCUGUGUUUGUGCUGAAGGGACGUGAUCUGCUCCUCAAGCUUCAUGCUGAUCCUCCUGAGAGGGUUUCAUUUGUUGACUGGAAAAUCAAUGAAACAGUCAAUUUAGUAAGAUUUGAACCUAGUGGAGAAUCACAUGUCGAUCCACAUUUCACUGGAAGGGUUCAGUUUGGUGAGAAUAAAUUCUCUGUGAUGUUGAAGAAUGUACAAGAGGUCGACAGUGGACUUUAUUCUGCUGAAGCACGAAUACUUCAAGAAGUCAAACUACUGACUGAAUACAAGGUCACAGUUCAAGGACCAGUGUCUCCAGUUGAAC